rnacentral:lncRNA from 11 species
AAGUCAAAUAUGUUUGGCUUGAAUUCAGAUUCUUAUACAAUGCACUUCUCUUUUUUUCAGAGCAUCGAUGUGGGCGCAGAGCUGAUUCGCUUGGGCUACGCGGUGCCAAGCCCGCAGGAGAGCGAUGGCGGCGGCAUGGGAGACGGACGGCACCAGCUGAGCAAAGAGGGGAACAUGAUGGAGGCCUCCCUGGAAAACCUGUCCGAGAUGCAGAAAACUCCCGAUGAGAUGCCUCUCUCCUUGUCCUGUGUCAGCCUUCCAGAUGUGGCCUCUGUGUCGGAGAGCGGGGAUUUCGGAGACCCCUCAUUGACUCCUUUGGCUUCAGGAAUGACGCUCCUGAGGGAAACAGCCCUAAAGUUUCUAAAGAAACCUCGGAGAGGGAACAGCACCACAGAUCCACGGAACCCCAGCUGAAACAUCUGCAAGCCUUGGUUGGGCGUUGCAUCUGAAACAGAGCCAGUGGCAAAGCAGAAGCAUCCGCACAUCCCAUGACUGGCCCAGAAGAACAUCUCACUGUCUUGGUGGGCACCUGCUUUUGACACGCAUCUACUUCAGAGCAGGAUGCAACAGAUGCAAGAAGCCAGUGCUCCACGGCAAGCUUAGUGGGGCAGAUUUUCAUUGGGUUCCAGUUUGGUCUCCCUCAGCUUGAUGAAUGUCUUGCAUGUGCCGCCGUUUUGGAUUUGUUUGUUUGUUUGUUGAAUCACGAGGGAUACGAGGCCCUCAGGCUUUUUCCAUUGAGAUGUCCAUUGAAGCAAAGAUGCUGCGGCAAGUUGGUUCUUUUUUUCCCUCUUGAUGGUGACCCCCUUUACUAAAGGAGAGGCAAAUAUGGCUGCCUGACAGUUUCCUGCCAAUGGUUGGGAAGAUUAAAAGGUGGAAGUCGGUUACCUUUCCCAGGUUUUAUGUUUUCACAGAGGAGAGAAAGGAAAGUGUUUUCCUUUUGUGUAAAUAAAGUUGUAUUAUUAUUAUUUAUUGUUUAAUGUUCACCACGGUUGCCUGACAGAUGGAUUUUCGAAUUGCACAUUUCUGGGUGGAAGAUGUAAUAAUUUAAGUCUUACUACCCAGCAUCUAUAACAAUAAAUUCUGACGAUUAUUCAGACUACAACAAUUUCCAUGUGAACGAAGAUACGGUUUUGAAAUUUUGGCCAAGCAUUAUCCUUGCCCAGGACAUAAUACUGAUAAAUACACACAAAUGUCUAUACUAGACAAUGUCAAAGAGAUAAACACUAUAAAGGUUCAAAACAUAAAAAGAGAUGUGUAUAUUAGAGCAACUUGCAAAGGCCACAGAAAUAGUCAGUCGUCUCUGAGUAU